AUGAACGCUGGCGGCGUGCCUCAUACCUGCCAGUCGAGCGCACAGACGAGGAGCUUGCUCCUCUGACGUUAGCGGCGGACGGGUGAGUAACACGUGGAUAACCUACCUAUAAGACUGGGAUAACUUCGGGAAACCGGAGCUAAUACCGGAUAAUAUAUUGAACCGCAUGGUUCAAUAGUGAAAGACGGUUUUGCUGUCACUUAUAGAUGGAUCCGCGCCGCAUUAGCUAGUUGGUAAGGUAACGGCUUACCAAGGCAACGAUGCGUAGCCGACCUGAGAGGGUGAUCGGCCACACUGGAACUGAGACACGGUCCAGACUCCUACGGGAGGCAGCAGUAGGGAAUCUUCCGCAAUGGGCGAAAGCUUGACGGAGCAACGCCGCGUGAGUGAUGAAGGUCUUCGGAUCGUAAAACUCUGUUAUUAGGGAAGAACAAAUGUGUAAGUAACUAUGCACGUCUUGACGGUACCUAAUCAGAAAGCCACGGCUAACUACGUG
rnacentral:rRNA from 1 species